GACGAACGCUGGCGGCGUGCUUAACACAUGCAAGUCGAACGGAAAGGCCUGCUUUCCCUUGUGGAUUGCGGGUGCUCGAGUGGCGAACGGGUGAGUAACACGUGAGUGAUCUGCCCCCAACUUGGGUAUAAGCCUGGGAAACUGGGUCUAAUUCCCGAUAGGACUGCAGGGUGGUGCCUGUGGUGGAAAACGAUUUUCUAGUGGUUGGGGAUGAGCUCGCGGCCUAUCAGCUUGUUGGUGGGGUAAUGGCCUACCAAGGCGGCGACGGGUAGCCGGCCUGAGAGGGUGGACGGCCACAUUGGGACUGAGAUACGGCCCAGACUCCUACGGGAGGCAGCAGUGGGGAAUAUUGCACAAUGGGCGGAAGCCUGAUGCAGCGACGCCGCGUGGGGGAUGACGGCCUUCGGGUUGUAAACUCCUUUCGACCGCGAGGAAGCCACCUGGUUGGAAGGGUGGUGACGGUAGUGGUAGAAGAAGCACCGGCUAACUACGUG
rnacentral:rRNA from 1 species